rnacentral:rRNA from 1 species
GACGAACGCUGGCGGCGUGCCUAAUACAUGCAAGUCGAGCGCGAGAAUGAGGAGCUUGCUCCUCAUAAUCGAGCGGCGGACGGGUGAGUAACACGUAGGCAACCUACCCUUGAGAUUGGGAUAACUACCGGAAACGGUAGCUAAUACCGGAUACGACUUUUCCACACAAGUGGAAUUGUUAAAAGGCGGAUUUAUCUGCCGCUCAUGGAUGGGCCUGCGGUGCAUUAGCUAGUUGGUGAGGUAGUGGCUCACCAAGGCGACGAUGCAUAGCCGACGUGAGGGGGUGGUAGGCCAAGCUGGGGCUGAGACACGGCCCAGACUCCUACGGGAGGCAGCAGUAGGGAAUCUUCCGCAAUGGACGCAAGUCUGACGGAGCAACGCCGCGUGAGUGAAGAAGGGUUUCGGCUCGUAAAACUCUGUUGUUAAGGAAGAACGCCAGGUAGAGUAACUGCUACCUGUGUGACGGUACUUAACCAGAAAGCCACGGCUAACUACGUGCCAGCCGCCGCAGUAA